rnacentral:rRNA from 1 species
AUUGAACGCUGGCGGCAGGCUUAACACAUGCAAGUCGAGCGAGCGGCGGACGGGUGUGCAAUGUCUGGGAAACUGCCUGAUGGAGGGGGAUAACUACUGGAAACGGUAGUUAAUCCCGCAUACCAUCAGAUUUGCCCAGAUGGGAUUAGCUGGUAGGUGGGGUAAUGGCUAACAUAGGCCACGAUCCCUAGCUGUUCUGAGAGGAUGACCAGCCACACUGGAACUGAGAAACGGUCCAGACUCCUACGGGAGGCAGCGGUGGGGAAUAUUGCACAAUGGGCGCAAGCCUGAUGCAGCCAUGCCGCGUGUGUGAAGAAGGCCUUCGGGUUGUAAAGCACUUUCAGCGAGGAGGCGUUACUCGCAGAAGAAGCACCGGCUAACUCCGUGCCAGCAGCCGCGGUAAUAC